rnacentral:ncRNA from 1 species
UCAAAAUGAGGACGGAGAAUGUCCCACCGUCGCCCCUUAUAAAAGGUAGGAGAUGUGGGAAUGGGGGACACCCACCGAUUUUU